rnacentral:misc_RNA from 1 species
CUUCUUUCUCUUUUACUACCGGAAACUAAUAAGCCGAGACUACCUGAGACUCUUGGUGACGCUGUAUUACAUUGAAGUCUAUCGAUCUUUGUAAGAAAUAAACAAAUGGUAUUGGUGAAUGCAGUUUGUCUUUUUCUGGUCUAGAAAGAACAAUAAAAGAUGGCGUAUGAUGAUGUGUUCCAAAAGAUCGGAUCGUUUGGUCGCUACCAGAAGUUAAUUUACUUGUUUCAGACUCUUCCUGUAGUGUUUACAGCAAUACAGACAUACCUGUCCGUCUUCAUAUUAUAUGUCCCAGAUCACAGAUGCGCCAAACCUAACAUCAACGAAACAAAGCUACAUAUGGAAGGCGUCAAUACAAUUAAUUCUUCGAUGCUGUACUCAAAGUGUGCACGAUAUUUCAACAACCUGACCAUGGAGUCCUUACAUCAGCUGUUUGAUCCAAGGACCGAGAGCUACAAUCAACAUUAUGACUACAAUAACAAGCUUAUGCAUACAAAAUACAUCUCACUUGAAACUUCUGCUGAUGGUAAUUCCACCAUGCACUCGGCAGAAUGUAAACGCUGGGAGUACGACACAACAGAAUUUGAAAAGACUUUUGUAACCGAGAAUAACCUUGUAUGCAGUAAGAAGUUAUAUCGAACGCACGCUAUUGUGUUUUUUAUGGCUGGUUUUACUGUUGGGUCCCUUUUCAUAGGGAUUUUCUCUGACAGGAGUUCUGGGAAUUUUCAGCGCUUCGAUUGGUAUCGGGUGUUUCCGUUGGAGGCUUAAUUACUACAUGCUACGUUAUGGACUUAGAGUUGGUUGGACCCGAUAUGAGGAUGUUGGCGGGAAUUGUGUACAUGUUGUUUUGGGGAAUUGGAGCGAUAUUGUUGACAGGAAUGGCGUAUCUCAUUCGUGACUGGAGAAAACUUAACCUUGCGUUGGCUCUACCAACCAUCUUAUUCCUAUUUUAUACCAUUUGUGUACCAGAAUCAACUCGAUGGCUAGUCGUUCGAGGUAAAAGAGAAAAAGCAGAAAAAAUCUUGAGACGAAUUGCAAGAAGAAACAACCGACUUUUUCAAGAACCAAUUCUGUCUAAGGAAGAUGGAGUGGACCGUGCUCCACAAGUGUCAUUUAUAACUCUUUGGUCCCAUCCUAGACUUUUGUGUAACACUGUUGUGGUUUUUUUCAACUGGUUUGUGGUUGCCUUGGUGUUUCUUGGACUCUCGUGGAACGUCAAUAACCUCGCUGGUGAUGUCUUUCUUAAUUUCUUCCUGACGAGCAUCGCAGAAAUAGUGGGUUUCCUCUUGUGCAUCCCCCUUUUGGAUCGUGUUGGCAGGAAGCCGGUAUACGUUGUUUCCCUUUUUACGGGAGGUUUUGCGUUACUGUUGACCAUGGUUCCUGUACUGGUAGGAUCUCCAGAGCCAAAUAGUUAGUGGUGACUUCGGAAGAGUUCUUCCGAUGUGUAUAUUUGGUGGCCUUGCAAUUUUUGCAGGAUUUCUCUCUCUUUUGCUCCCGGAAACAAAUAAACAGGAUCUACCAGAAACUCUCGAAGACGCCGAACGUAUUUGGUUAAAAGGUCGCAGAGAACGAGGUAAAGAUAUUACAGUACCGCCGCCGUCGAACAGCAACACCCAACACGGUGAUUUGAUGCAGAAUCUGAAUGGUGAGACUCAGCAGAGUGUGGAGUUGGAAAUGUUGCAGCCAUUGAAUGGAGAAACAUAGAAAGUCAAGCUGAAAGAAACAUUUUUUACAGUCUGAUUCUAGAAACAAACGUUUAAAAGAUCAUGUGUUUCUUAAUUAUUUUAAUGCAACAAAAUUAUACCCUAUGAACAAGAGGAAAAUCAUAAUAUGCAAAAUGUGUGAAUAUCAAUGCUUUCUAUAAUGGGACAUGUGACUAAGAAGGUAUCCUUUAUUGCAUAAAAAAGUAUCUAACUAAG